rnacentral:piRNA from 1 species
GUCAAAACCAAAGGUUUACUGUUCCA